rnacentral:rRNA from 1 species
GACGAACGCUGGCGGCGUGCUUAACACAUGCAAGUCGAACGGACAGGCCCGGCUUUUGUGCGGUGCGCGAGUGACGAACGGGUAAGUAACACGUGAGUACCCUGCCCCUGACUUUGGGUUAACCUAAGACAACUGGGGCUAUUACCGGAUAGGAUCUCUCGCUGCUUGGUGGGGGUUGGAAAGUUUCGGCGGUUGGGGAUGGACUUGCGGCUUCUCAGCGUGUUGGUGGGGUAGUGGUGUACCAAGGCUUUGCCAGGUAGCGGGCCUGAGAGGGUGACAGGCCACAUUGGGACUGGGAUACGGCACAGACUCCACCGGGAGGCAGCGGUGGGGAGGGUUACACAAUGGGCGGAAGCAUAAUGCAGCAACGCCGCGUGCGGGAUAACGGGCUUCGGGUUGUAAACCGCUUUCGCCUGUGACGAAGCGUGAGUGACGGUAAUGGGUAAAGAAGCCCCGGCUAACUACGUG